CCUACGGGAGGCUGCAGUGGGGAAUAUUGGACAAUGGGGGGAACCCUGAUCCAGCCAUGCCGCGUGUGUGAAGAAGGCCCUCGGGUUGUAAAGCACUUUCAGUGAGGAAGAACGCCUGGUGGUUAAUACCCAUCAGGAAAGACAUCACUCACAGAAGAAGCACCGGCUAACUCCGUGCCAGCAGCCGCGGUAAUACGGAGGUGCGAGCGUUAAUCGGAAUUACUGGGCGUAAAGCGCGCGUAGGUGGCUUGAUAAGCCGGUUGUGAAAGCCCCGGGCUCAACCUGGGAACGGCAUCCGGAACUGUCAAGCUAGAGUGCAGGAGAGGAAGGUAGAAUUCCCGGUGUAGCGGUGAAAUGCGUAGAGAUCGGGAGGAAUACCAGUGGCGAAGGCGGCCUUCUGGACUGACACUGACACUGAGGUGCGAAAGCGUGGGUAGCAAACAGGAUUAGAUACCCCAGUAGUC
rnacentral:rRNA from 1 species